GUGUGUUUUAGAUAGGGUGUGUGUGAGACAGGGUGUGUGUGUUAGGUGGUGUGUGUGUGUUUUAGACAGGGUGUGUGUGUGUGAGACGGUGUAUGUGUUAGGGUGUGUGUUUAGACAGGGUGUGUGUGUCAGGGUGUGUUUUAGAGCGUGUGUGUUAGGGUAUGUGUGUGUUAGGGUGUGUGUUUUAGACAGUGUGUGUGUUUUAGACUGUAUUAAGAUAUGGGUGUGUGUUUUAGACAGAGUGUGUGUGUGUUAAGGUGUGUAUGUGUGUUUUAGACAGGGUGUGUGUGUUUUAGACAGUGUGUGUUGGGUGAGUGCAUGUGUGAGAUGGGGGUGUGUGUGUUUCAGACGGUGUGUAUGUGUGUUAGGGUGUGUGUGUGUUGGGUGAGUGCAUGUGUGAGAUGGGGGUGUGUGUGUUUCAGACGGUGUGUAUGUGUGUUAGGAUGUGUGUGUGAGAGUGAGUGCAAGUGUGUGAGACGGUGGUAUAUGUGUUUCAGACGGUGUGUAUGUGUGUUAGGAUGUGUGUGUUUGUUAGAGUGAGUGCAC
rnacentral:lncRNA from 1 species